rnacentral:rRNA from 1 species
UACGUAGGCAGCAAGCGUUGUUCGGAGUUACUGGGCGUAAAGGGUGCGUAGGCGGCUUUUAAGUUUGGUGUGAAAUCUCCCGGCUCAACUGGGAGGGUGCGCCGAAUACUGAGAGGCUAGAGUGUGGGAGAGGAAAGUGGAAUUCCUGGUGUAGCGGUGAAAUGCGUAGAUAUCAGGAGGAACACCGGUGGUGUAAACGGCUUCUGGACCAUAACUGACGCUGAGGCACGAAAGCGUGGGUAGCAACAGG